UGAGGGAUAUUGGUCAAUGGGCGCAAGCCUGAACCAGCGACGCCGCGUGGGUGAAGAAGGUCUUCGGAUCGUAAAGCCCUUUUCCCACUGAAGAGGAAGGACGGUAGGUGGGGAAGAAGUCUCGGCUAACUACGUGCCAGCAGCCGCGGUAAAACGUAGGAGACAAGCGUUAUCCGGAGUUACUGGGCGUAAAGGGCGUGCAGGUGGCGUCUUAAGUCUGUUGUGAAGGCGCCUGGCUUAACCGGGCGAGGCCAAUGGAGACUGAGAGGCUGGAGGACGGCGGAGGGGUGUGGAAUUCCGGGUGUAGUGGUGAAAUGCGUAGAGAUCCGGAGGAACACCAGAGGCGAAGGCGGCACUCUAAGCCGUACCUGACACUGAGACGCGACAGCACGGGGAGCAAACG
rnacentral:rRNA from 1 species